GAUGAAGAACGUAGCGAAAUGCGAUACGUAAUGUGAAUUGCAGAAUUCAGUGAAUCAUCGAGUCUUUGAACGCACAUUGCGCCCCCUGGUAUUCCGGGGGGCAUGCCUGUCCGAGCGUCAUUGCUGCCCUCAAGCACGGCUUGUGUGUUGGGCCUCCGUCCUCCUCCCGGGGGACGGGCCCGAAAGGCAGCGGCGGCACCGCGUCCGGUCCUCGAGCGUAUGGGGCUUCGUCACCCGCUCUUGUAGGCCCGGCCGGCGCUUGCCGACACAUCAAUCUUUUUUCCACGUUGACCUCGGAUCAGGUAGGGAUACCCGCUGAACUUAAGCAUAUCAAUAAGCGGAGGA
rnacentral:misc_RNA from 1 species